rnacentral:rRNA from 1 species
CAGCCCCUCGAGUGGUGGGGAUGAUUAUUUGGCCUAAAGCGUCCGUAGCCGGCCGAGCAAGUCUUCCGUUAAAUCCAGCGUCUCAAACGUUGGACUGCGGGAGAUACUACACGGCUAGAGAGUGGGAGAGGUCAGCGGUAUUCUGGGGGUAGGGGCGAAAUCCUUUGAUCCCCGGAGGACCACCAGUGGCGAAGGCUGCUGACUAGAACACGUCUGACGGUCAGGGACGAAAGCUGGGGUAGCGAACCGGAUUAGAUACCCGAGUAGUCC